GGAGAGGUGCCAGAGCUGGCCGAAUGGGCUCGACUCGAAAUCGAGAGUCCCUUCACCGGGACCGUGGGUUCGAAUCCCACCUUCUCCGCCA
rnacentral:tRNA from 1 species